CACUUGGCCCAUCUCCCCAGCCGCCGUCCCUGCCCUAUCCUCCCUCAGGCCACCGCCGCUCUCCCCUGGUAGCCGUCGCCUCUCCCUGCUCUGCUCCUCUCUCUCCCAAGCGGCUCUCCCUCUCUCUCCUCGCUUCUCUCCCCUCCUCUUCUCCAGCCGCUGCUAGGCAACCGGCCGCCGAGCAGCGCAGCCACGCUGUUGCUCUCGCCAGGACGCCAGGAACCGCUGCCAUGGCUGCAGCAAAUCUGAGCACAGUUGGCUUCUUUGCAGUUUGCAGGCUAAAGUGUGUUCCUACUUCCUCCUGUAUACACAGUUUAUUCCUGCAUUUUUUGGGGUGAUUAAUUCCUUUUUCAAGGAACGUGGAUGCGGGCGAUAAAUUGAAGCUGUGGGUACUCUGUUUUCUGAAAGACAAAUGAUAGCUAUUCAAGGAGCUAGAGGCUGCUCAACAUAAAGCAUCAACAGCAACCUCUGGAACAGCUGAAAAUGCUCUACUGGAAGCUAAGUCAGUGACUGAUCUUAAAUCUAAAGAUUUGGAGGAGAAGAAAAGGGAGC
rnacentral:misc_RNA from 1 species